GGCUGAAAUUAUUAAGUUUGUUUAUAUUAUGAUACUUUUUGUUUCCUUAUUGCUUAUUGUAGAAGCUGGUGGAAAUGAAUGUGUUACUGACGUCGAUUGUGAAAAAUUAUAUCCGGGUAAUAAAAAGCCUCUGAUUUGCAACAUUGGUUAUUGUUUGAGUUUGUACAAAGAGCCUCCUCGCUACAUGUAGUACUGAGAUGUUCGUUCAUGAGAGUAAAGUGGAUAAUUAUCUUUUAACUCGUGUUAUGUUGUUCUUGAAUGUUUGUUUAAUUGUUUUUUAUGUUUAAAAAGAAUUGUAGGCUGUGAUACUAUGAGAUCAGGGCCGAUGUUAUCUAAUAUUUACUUAUUUUAUUAUAAGAAAAAUGUAAGGCUUUAAUAAGCUAAAAUAUUUUAUUUCAAGUUAUGAAAUUGUGUUGUUAUCUAUGGUGAUGUUGUGAUAUUUUAUUCUA